rnacentral:rRNA from 1 species
AUACGGGAGGCAGCAGUGGGGAAUUUUGCGCAAUGGGCGAAAGCCUGACGCAGCAACGCCGCGUGGAGGAUGAAGGUCUUCGGAUCGUAAACUCCUGUCAGCGGGGACGAAAGCCCAAAAGGUUUGACUGUACCCGCUGAGGAAGCCACGGCUAACUCCGUGCCAGCAGCCGCGGUAAUACGGAGGUGGCAAGCGUUGUUCGGAAUUACUGGGCGUAAAGGGCGCGUAGGCGGCUUGGCAAGUCAGAUGUGAAAGCCCCGGGCUUAACUCGGGAAUUGCAUCUGAAACUGCUUUGCUUGAGUCCUGGAGGGGGUAGUGGAAUUCCCAGUGUAGCGGUGAAAUGCGUAGAUAUUGGGAGGAACACCUGCGGCGAAGGCGGCUACCUGGACAGUGACUGACGCUGAGGCGCGAAAGCUAGGGGAGCGAACGGGAUUAGAUACCCCGGUAGC